rnacentral:rRNA from 1 species
UGGGGAAUUUUGGACAAUGGGGGGAAACCCUGAUCCAGCCAUCCCGCGUGUGCGAUGAAGGCCUUCGGGUUGUAAAGCACUUUUGGCAGGAAAGAAACGUCGCGGGUUAAUACCCCGCGAAACUGACGGUACCUGCAGAAUAAGCACCGGCUAACUACGUGCCAGCAGCCGCGGUAAUACGUAGGGUGCAAGCGUUAAUCGGAAUUACUGGGCGUAAAGCGUGCGCAGGCGGUUCGGAAAGAAAGAUGUGAAAUCCCAGAGCUUAACUUUGGAACUGCAUUUUUAACUACCGGGCUAGAGUGUGUCAGAGGGAGGUGGAAUUCCGCGUGUAGCAGUGAAAUGCGUAGAUAUGCGGAGGAACACCGAUGGCGAAGGCAGCCUCCUGGGAUAACACUGACGCUCAUGCACGAAAGCGUGGGGAGCAAACAGGAUUAGAUACCCUGGUAGUCCACGCCCUAAACGAUGUCAACUAGCUGUUGGGGCCUUCGGGCCUUGGUGCGCAGCUAACGCGUGAAGUUGACCGCCUGGGGAGUACGGUCGCAAGAUU